GAUGAAGGACGUAGCGAAAUGCGAUAAGUAAUGUGAAUUGCAGAAUUCAGUGAAUCAUCGAAUCUUUGAACGCACAUUGCGCCCGCCAGUAUUCUGGCGGGCAUGCCUGUUCGAGCGUCAUUACAACCCUCAGGCCCCCGGGCCUGGCGUUGGGGAUCGGCGGAAGCCCCCUGCGGGCACAACGCCGUCCCCCAAAUACAGUGGCGGUCCCGCCGCAGCUUCCAUUGCGUAGUAGCUAACACCUCGCAACUGGAGAGCGGCGCGGCCACGCCGUAAAACACCCAACUUCUGAAUGUUGACCUCGAAUCAGGUAGGAAUACCCGCUGAACUUAAGCAUAUCAAUAAGCGGAGGA
rnacentral:misc_RNA from 1 species